GAUGAACGCUGGCGGCGUGCCUAAUACAUGCAAGUCGAGCGAACAGACGAGGGGCUUGCUCCUCUGACGUUAGCGGCGGACGGGGUAGUAACACGUGGAUAACCUACCUAUAAAACUGGGAUAACUUCGGGAAACCGGAGCUAAUACCGGGUAAUAUAUUGAACCGCAUGGUUCAAUAGUGAAAGACGGUUUUGCUGUCACUUAUAGAUGGAUCCGCGCCGCAUUAGCUAGUUGGUAAGGUAACGGCUUACCAAGGCAACGAUGCGUAGCCGACCUGAGAGGGUGAUCGGCCACACUGGCACUGAGACACGGUCCAGACUCCUACGGGAGGCAGCAGUAGGGACUCUUCCGCAAUGGGCGAAAGCCUGACGGAGCAACGCCGCGUGAGUGAUGAAGGUCUUCGGAUCGUAAAACUCUGUUAUUAGGGAAGAACAAAUGUGUAAGUAACUAUGCACGUAUUGACGGUACCUAAUCAGAAAGCCACGGCUAACUACGUG
rnacentral:rRNA from 1 species